ACGGGCGUAGCUCAGCUGGUAGAGCAGUGGUCUCCAAAACCAAAGGUCGUGGGUUCGAUCCCUUCCGCCCGUGCAA
rnacentral:tRNA from 1 species